AGAGUUUGAUCCUGGCUCAGAGCGAACGCUGGCGGCGUGCUUAAGACAUGCAAGUCGAACGUAACGGGGAGCAAUCCCUUAAAAGUGGCGUACGGGUGAGUAACACGUGGAUAAUCUACCUUGAAGUUGGGGAUAACAUUCCGAAAGGAGUGCUAAUACCGGAAUAAUGUGCGGAGACGGGUUUCGUUUCCGUAAGAAAGGGGCAGCAAUGUCUCGCUUUAAGAUGAAUCUGCGUCCCAUUAGCUAGUUGGUAGGGUAACGGCCUACCAAGGCGAUGAUGGGUAGCUGGUCUGAGAGGAUGAUCAGCCACACUGGAACUGAAACACGGUCCAGACUCCUACGGGAGGCAGCAGUCGGGAAUUUUGCGCAAUGGACGAAAGUCUGACGCAGCCACGCCGCGUGAGUGAAGAAGGCCCUCGGGUUGUAAAGCUCUGUCGGAAGGGACAAAAGUCCAGGGUAACCCCCUGGUUUGAUGGUACCUUCAAAGGAAGCACCGGCUAACUUCGUGCCAGCAGCCGCGGUAAUACGAAGGGUGCAAGCGUUGCUCGGAAUUAUUGGGCGUAAAGGGCAGGUAGGUGGUCUUGUUUGUCUAAGGUGAAAUCCCCGAGCUUAACUUGGGAACUGCCUUGGAAACGGCGAGACUGGAGUACUGGAGAGGGUCGUAGAAUUCUUGGUGUAGCGGUAAAAUGCGUAGAUAUCAAGAGGAAUACCAGAGGCGAAGGCGGCGACCUGGACAGUUACUGACACUCAACUGCGAAAGCGUGGGGAGCAAACAGGAUUAGAUACCCUGGUAGUCCACGCUGUAAACGAUGGGUACUAGGUCUAGUGGGUUUUGACGCCUGCUGGACCGUAGCUAACGCGCUAAGUACCCCGCCUGGGAAGUACGGUCGCAAGACUAAAACUCAAAGGAAUUGACGGGGGCCCGCACAAGCGGUGGAUCAUGUGGUUUAAUUCGAAGCAACGCGAAGAACCUUACCUGGGUUUGACAUCCUUUGACAGUUCUAGAGAUAGAAUCUUCGUAGCAAUACGACAAAGUGACAGGUGCUGCAUGGCUGUCGUCAGCUCGUGUGGUGACAUGUCGGGUUAAGUCCCUCAACGAGCGCAACCCCUGUCUUUAGUUGCCAGCAUUAAGUUGGGCACUCUAAAGAGACUGCCGUGGUGAACACGGAGGAAGGUGGGGAUGACGUCAAGUCCUCAUGGCCCUUAUAUCCAGGGCUACACACGUGAUACAAUGGAUGGCACAAAGGGAAGCGAGAUAGUGAUGUUAAGCUAAUCCCAAAAAACCAUUCUCAGUUCGGAUUGAAGUCUGCAACUCGACUUCAUGAAGGUGGAAUCGCUAGUAAUCGCGGAUCAGAACGCCGCGGUGAAUACGUUCCCGGGCCUUGUACACACCGCCCGUCACACCAUGGGAGCUGACUCAACCAGAAGACAAUCAGGCUAACCGUAAGGAGGCCUUUGUCCAAGGUGGGGUUGGUGACUGGGGUGAAGUCGUAACAAGGUA
rnacentral:rRNA from 1 species